rnacentral:tRNA from 1 species
GGGCAUGUAGCGCAGUUGGUAGCGCGCUCGCUUAGCAUGCGAGAGGUCUUGGGUUCAAAUCCCAACUUGUCCA